rnacentral:rRNA from 1 species
CCUACGGGAGGCAGCAGUGGGGAAUUUUGGACAAUGGGCGAAAGCCUGAUCCAGCAAUGCCGCGUGAGUGAAGAAGGCCUUCGGGUUGUAAAGCUCUUUUGUCAGGGAAGAAACGGUGAGAGCUAAUAUCUUUUGCUAAUGACGGUACCUGAAGAAUAAGCACCGGCUAACUACGUGCCAGCAGCCGCGGUAAUACGUAGGGUGCAAGCGUUAAUCGGAAUUACUGGGCGUAAAGCGUGCGCAGGCGGUUUUGUAAGUCUGAUGUGAAAUCCCCGGGCUCAACCUGGGAAUUGCAUUGGAGACUGCAAGGCUAGAAUCUGGCAGAGGGGGGUUAGAAUUCCACGUGUAGCAGUGAAAUGCGUAGAUAUGUGGAGGAACACCGAUGGCGAAGGCAGCCCCCUGGGUCAAGAUUGACGCUCAUGCACGAAAGCGUGGGGAGCAAACAGGAUUAGAUACCCUGGUAGUCCACGCCCUAAACGAUGUCUACUAGUUGUCGGGUCUUAAUUGACUUGGUAACGCAGCUAACGCGUGAAGUAGACCGCCUGGGGAUACGGUCGCAGNUUAAAACGUCAAAGUAUAGUGCGNGNGAGACGACGACGACGACGAGGAGAGGAG